UCAAUCAAAACGAUUGAACAUAUGCCAGAGUGCGGGUUUUGACAUAGUCAAAACCAACCAUAAUUCAAAGCUACUUCAAUGUAGCGACAACAAAAACAAAUGAGCUAUUCAAAUAGCUUCAAGAUAUCUUGGAAGCUUGCUUCUAUCAAUCUUAGUGGCGAACGGGUGAGUAACGCGUAAUCAACCUGCCCUUCAGAGGGGGACAACAGUUGGAAACGACUGCUAAUACCGCAUACGAUCUAAUCUCGGCAUCGAGGAUAGAUGAAAGGUGGCCUCUACAUGUAAGCUAUCACUGAAGGAGGGGAUUGCGUCUGAUUAGCUAGUUGGAGGGGUAACGGCCCACCAAGGCGAUGAUCAGUAGCCGGUCUGAGAGGAUGAACGGCCACAUUGGGACUGAGACACGGCCCAGACUCCUACGGGAGGCAGCAGUGGGGAAUCUUCCGCAAUGGACGAAAGUCUGACGGAGCAACGCCGCGUGAGUGAUGACGGCCUUCGGGUUGUAAAGCUCUGUUAAUCGGGACGAAAGGCCUUCUUGCGAAUAGUGAGAAGGAUUGACGGUACCGGAAUAGAAAGCCACGGCUAACUACGUGCCAGCAGCCGCGGUAAUACGUAGGUGGCAAGCGUUGUCCGGAAUUAUUGGGCGUAAAGCGCGCGCAGGCGGAUAGGUCAGUCUGUCUUAAAAGUUCGGGGCUUAACCCCGUGAUGGGAUGGAAACUGCCAAUCUAGAGUAUCGGAGAGGAAAGUGGAAUUCCUAGUGUAGCGGUGAAAUGCGUAGAUAUUAGGAAGAACACCAGUGGCGAAGGCGACUUUCUGGACGAAAACUGACGCUGAGGCGCGAAAGCCAGGGGAGCGAACGGGAUUAGAUACCCCGGUAGUCCUGGCCGUAAACGAUGGGUACUAGGUGUAGGAGGUAUCGACCCCUUCUGUGCCGGAGUUAACGCAAUAAGUACCCCGCCUGGGGAGUACGACCGCAAGGUUGAAACUCAAAGGAAUUGACGGGGGCCCGCACAAGCGGUGGAGUAUGUGGUUUAAUUCGACGCAACGCGAAGAACCUUACCAGGUCUUGACAUUGAUGGACAGAAC
rnacentral:rRNA from 1 species